UAUAGAAUAGUUUGAAGUUCUUUUGUUAUUGGAUCCAAUCCUCCACGAAAAGAUGGAUUUGGUGUCCCGCCCAAGAAGGAUACCUUCGUCCUAGUAACCCCUGCAAAGAAAGUCGUUCUUUUCUUUUACAUUGCCAGCAAAGUAUCGAGUGCAUGCAAAAUCAAUAUCUUACCAACGAUGGCACUAUUAUAUACUAAGGAUGUUUUCGUUUACCUUCUACUUCCUUGGUGAACUUGGUGCCAUAUUACUUCCACAGGUGUAUCGAUAGGGUAACCUUCUUUCCAUGGAUAACAUAUUCCGGAUCUCUUAUAAUUAGCUUGUGAAACAACCGGAACUGCUUAGUUUGACUUCGAUGCCAAAGAAAUAAGUAAUUAGGACCAAAGUCUCUGUUAUCUCGAACGAAUUCUCCAUUGCUGUAUUAUUUCCAUUCUGGAAUCAUGGUGGGGCCUGUCCGAAUCAAAUAAUAGAAAGAGAAAGGCAUACCAACAAGAUAUCGCCAUGAGAGUUUGUUUGAAUAUAGAGAGCGCGAGCCAGCCCUCUUGAACCAUUAGAAAGGGUGCUUCAUAGACAACAUGAAUAAUCAAACGGGGGGUCGAUGUUCUAUGUUCUAUAUAGAGACCUCUUUCUCGUCUUCAAUAAAUCCAUUAAGAAAUGCCGAUUUGACAUCCAUCUGUCCAAUUUCCCAUUUCCAUUUGAGCUGUGA